UACGUAGGGGGCUAGCGUUGUCCGGAUUUAUUGGGCGUAAAGAGCGUGUAGGCGGCCAGGUAGGUCUGGUGUGAAAACUCGAGGCUUAACCUCGAGAUGUCAUCGGAAACCAUCUGGCUAGAGUCCGGAAGAGGAGAGUGGAAUUCCUGGUGUAGCGGUGAAAUGCGCAGAUAUCAGGAGGAACACCUAUUGCGAAGGCAGCUCUCUGGGACGGUACUGACGCUGAGACGCGAAAGCGUGGGGAGCGAACAGG
rnacentral:rRNA from 1 species